rnacentral:rRNA from 1 species
UACGGAGGAUCCGAGCGUUAUCCGGAUUUAUUGGGUUUAAAGGGUGCGCAGGCGGGGGAUUAAGUCGGCGGUGAAAUUUUGCAGCUCAACUGUAAAAAGUGCCUUCGAAACUGGUUUCCUUGGGUGUAGAUGAAGUAGGCGGAAUUUGUGGUGUAGCGGUGAAAUGCUUAGAUAUCACGAGGAACUCCGAUUGCGCAGGCAGCUUACUAAACUACUACUGACGCUCAGGCACGAAGGCGUGGGGAUCAAACAGGAUUAGAUACCCUGGUAGUCCCUGA